AAUUAAUAAACUACAGACUGGACUUUACAAAUAUAUAUUUUUGUCUCUAACAAAUAAACUAAUAUCAAUUAUUAAGUAAGAAAUCCUUGACUUAAUAAUCGAUGCUUCUGUGGGAAUCCAUACCAUGCAUAGGUGAAUGAGUAAUCCUCUUCAUUUUCUUGUAUUUUUUUUUUCUUUAUCAAAAUGAUGAAAAUAUUGUAUAAUGGGUUAAAAACAUCCGGAAAAAAGAUGAUCUUGGAUCUUGCACUAAUAAAUACACCUCAUUUUCUCAUAGUUAUGUAAGCAUUGGAUGAAUUAGUGAAUAGGACAAAAUAAAUUAACCUCCAGAGUCCAAAAGUAAGAAUCAUUCACCAAUUUAACAAAAACUAACACAAGACCCAAGAAUGUGAUAUCACCAAGGUGAAAGGGAAAACUGCCAGGUGAAAGGUGUUGACAGGAUGGAAUGUAGAGGUUGAGCAGUUGAAGUCUUGACUCCAGGGAGAAGAGUAUAAAUUCAGUUCUAAAAACAAAAGUUGAAGUUCUGACUCCUGAAAGAUAAGGGAGAGAAGUUCAACUCACAAGAAAGGAAUAAUCCAGACAAGAUUGCUGAACUUUAUUUUUGAAAAGAAAAUCAAGGAAUGAGAUAUGAUAAAGGAAGAUUGUUCCUGUAUCACCAAUUUCUUCUGGAUAUACACUAUACAUAAUGACAACUACAUAACUGGAAAACAGGCAGAGUUGAUAGCAGCAAAGAGGCUUAAUUGUUACAAGGCUAACCCAACUAUUCAUAAACAUUCUCUUCAGUUUGCUAAGAAAAAGGUACUACUGUCAGUGCCCAUAUAUAUAGGGUUAUUCAAAAAGAAAGAGCAGAUUUCAAACAUUUAUUUCUUCCAGGCUGCAGAGGAUGGAGGCAUGAUUCUGGCGU
rnacentral:lncRNA from 1 species